rnacentral:rRNA from 2 species
CACACGACUCUCGGCAACGGAUAUCUCGGCUCUCGCAUCGAUGAAGAACGUAGCAAAAUGCGAUACCUGGUGUGAAUUGCAGAAUCCCGUGAACCAUCGAGUUUUUGAACGCAAGUUGCGCCCGAGGCCUUCUGGCCGAGGGCACGUCUGCCUGGGCGUCACGC